GGUUAAGCGACUAAGCGUACACGGUGGAUGCCCUGGCAGUCAGAGGCGAUGAAGGACGUGCUAAUCUGCGAAAAGCGCCGGCGAGGUGAUAUGAACCCUUGACCCGGCGAUGUCCGAAUGGGGAAACCCAGUGUGAUUCGUCACACUAUCGUUAACUGAAUACAUAGGUUAACGAGGCGAACCGGGGGAACUGAAACAUCUAAGUACCCCGAGGAAAAGAAAUCAACCGAGAUUCCCCCAGUAGCGGCGAGCGAACGGGGAGCAGCCCAGAGUCUGAAUCAGCUUGUGUGUUAGUGGAAGCGUCUGGAAAGUCGCACGGUACAGGGUGAAAGUCCCGUACACGAAAAUGCACAGGCUGUGAACUCGAAGAGUAGGGCGGGACACGUGGUAUCCUGUCUGAAUAUGGGGGGACCAUCCUCCAAGGCUAAAUACUCCUGACUGACCGAUAGUGAACCAGUACCGUGAGGGAAAGGCGAAAAGAACCCCGGCGAGGGGAGUGAAAAAGAACCUGAAACCGUGUACGUACAAGCAGUGGGAGCACCUUCGUGGUGUGACUGCGUACCUUUUGUAUAAUGGGUCAGCGACUUAUAUUCUGUAGCAAGGUUAACCGUAUAGGGGAGCCGAAGGGAAACCGAGUCUUAACUGGGCGUUAAGUUGCAGGGUAUAGACCCGAAACCCGGUGAUCUAGCCAUGGGCAGGUUGAAGGUUGGGUAACACUAACUGGAGGACCGAACCGACUAAUGUUGAAAAAUUAGCGGAUGACCUGUGGCUGGGGGUGAAAGGCCAAUCAAACCGGGAGAUAGCUGGUUCUCCCCGAAAGCUAUUUAGGUAGCGCCUCGUGAACUCAUCUUCGGGGGUAGAGCACUGUUUCGGCUAGGGGGCCAUCCCGGCUUACCAACCCGAUGCAAACUACGAAUACCGAAGAAUGUUAUCACGGGAGACACACGGCGGGUGCUAACGUCCGUCGUGAAGAGGGAAACAACCCAGACCGCCAGCUAAGGUCCCAAAGUCAUGGUUAAGUGGGAAACGAUGUGGGAAGGCCCAGACAGCCAGGAUGUUGGCUUAGAAGCAGCCAUCAUUUAAAGAAAGCGUAAUAGCUCACUGGUCGAGUCGGCCUGCGCGGAAGAUGUAACGGGGCUAAACCAUGCACCGAAGCUGCGGCAGCGACACUCUGUGUUGUUGGGUAGGGGAGCGUUCUGUAAGCCGUUGAAGGUGGCCUGUGAGGGUUGCUGGAGGUAUCAGAAGUGCGAAUGCUGACAUAAGUAACGAUAAAGCGGGUGAAAAGCCCGCUCGCCGGAAGACCAAGGGUUCCUGUCCAACGUUAAUCGGGGCAGGGUGAGUCGACCCCUAAGGCGAGGCCGAAAGGCGUAGUCGAUGGGAAACAGGUUAAUAUUCCUGUACUUGGUGUUACUGCGAAGGGGGGACGGAGAAGGCUAUGUUAGCCGGGCGACGGUUGUCCCGGUUUAAGCAUGUAGGCGGAGGUUCCAGGUAAAUCCGGUACCUUUUAACGCUGAGGUGUGAUGACGAGGCACUACGGUGCUGAAGUAACAAAUGCCCUGCUUCCAGGAAAAGCCUCUAAGCAUCAGGUAACACGAAAUCGUACCCCAAACCGACACAGGUGGUCAGGUAGAGAAUACCAAGGCGCUUGAGAGAACUCGGGUGAAGGAACUAGGCAAAAUGGUGCCGUAACUUCGGGAGAAGGCACGCUGAUAUGUAGGUGAAGCCCCUGCGGGUGGAGCUGAAAUCAGUCGAAGAUACCAGCUGGCUGCAACUGUUUAUUAAAAACACAGCACUGUGCAAACACGAAAGUGGACGUAUACGGUGUGACGCCUGCCCGGUGCCGGAAGGUUAAUUGAUGGGGUUAGCGGCAACGCGAAGCUCUUGAUCGAAGCCCCGGUAAACGGCGGCCGUAACUAUAACGGUCCUAAGGUAGCGAAAUUCCUUGUCGGGUAAGUUCCGACCUGCACGAAUGGCGUAAUGAUGGCCAGGCUGUCUCCACCCGAGACUCAGUGAAAUUGAACUCGCUGUGAAGAUGCAGUGUACCCGCGGCAAGACGGAAAGACCCCGUGAACCUUUACUAUAGCUUGACACUGAACACUGGUCCUUGAUGUGUAGGAUAGGUGGGAGGCUUUGAAGCGUGGACGCCAGUCUGCGUGGAGCCGUCCUUGAAAUACCACCCUUUAAUGGCUGGUGUUCUAACGUAGACCCGUAAUCCGGGUUGCGGACAGUGUCUGGUGGGUAGUUUGACUGGGGCGGUCUCCUCCCAAAGAGUAACGGAGGAGCACGAAGGUUAGCUAAUCCUGGUCGGACAUCAGGAGGUUAGUGCAAUGGCAUAAGCUAGCUUGACUGCGAGAGUGACGGCUCGAGCAGGUGCGAAAGCAGGUCAUAGUGAUCCGGUGGUUCUGAAUGGAAGGGCCAUCGCUCAACGGAUAAAAGGUACUCCGGGGAUAACAGGCUGAUACCGCCCAAGAGUUCAUAUCGACGGCGGUGUUUGGCACCUCGAUGUCGGCUCAUCACAUCCUGGGGCUGAAGUAGGUCCCAAGGGUAUGGCUGUUCGCCAUUUAAAGUGGUACGCGAGCUGGGUUUAGAACGUCGUGAGACAGUUCGGUCCCUAUCUGCCGUGGGCGCUGGAGAAUUGAGGGGGGCUGCUCCUAGUACGAGAGGACCGGAGUGGACGCAUCACUGGUGUUCGGGUUGUCAUGCCAAUGGCACUGCCCGGUAGCUAAAUGCGGAAGAGAUAAGUGCUGAAAGCAUCUAAGCACGAAACUUGCCCCGAGAUGAGUUCUCCCUGAGACUUCAAGUCUCCUGAAGGAACGUUGAAGACGACGACGUUGAUAGGUCGGGUGUGUAAGCGCAGCGAUGCGUUGAGCUAACCGAUACUAAUGAACCGUGAGGCUUAACCUU
rnacentral:rRNA from 1 species